rnacentral:tRNA from 1 species
UCCCUGAUGGCUCAGUGGUAAAGAAUCUGCCUGUAAUGUAGGAGACACAGGUUCAAUUCCUGGGUCGGGAA